rnacentral:rRNA from 1 species
AGUGAACGCUGGCGGUAGGCCUAACACAUGCAAGUCGAACGGCAGCACAGUAAGAGCUUGCUCUUACGGGUGGCGAGUGGCGGACGGGUGAGGAAUACAUCGGAAUCUACUUUUUCGUGGGGGAUAACGUAGGGAAACUUACGCUAAUACCGCAUACGACCUACGGGUGAAAGCAGGGGAUCUUCGGACCUUGCGCGAUUGAAUGAGCCGAUGUUGGAUUGGCUAGUUGGCGGGGUAAAUGCCCACCAAGGCGACGAUCCGUAGCUGGUCUGAGAGGAUGAUCAGCCACACUGGAACUGAGACACGGUCCAGACUCCUACGGGAGGCAGCAGUAGGGAAUAUUGGACAAUGGGCGCAAGCCUGAUCCAGCCAUACCGCGUGGGUGAAGAAGGCCUUCGGGUUGUAAAGCCCUUUUGUUGGGAAAGAAAAGCAGCAGGUUAAUACCCCGCUGUUCUGACGGUACCCAAAGAAUAAGCACCGGCUAACUUCGUG